rnacentral:rRNA from 1 species
AUUGAACGCUGGCGGCAGGCUUAACACAUGCAAGUCGAGCGGGGGAAGGUAGCUUGCUACUGGACCUAGCGGCGGACGGGUGAGUAAUGCUUAGGAAUCUGCCUAUUAGUGGGGGACAACAUCUCGAAAGGGAUGCUAAUACCGCAUACGUCCUACGGGAGAAAGCAGGGGAUCUUCGGACCUUGCGCUAAUAGAUGAGCCUAAGUCGGAUUAGCUAGUUGGUGGGGUAAAGGCCUACCAAGGCGACGAUCUGUAGCGGGUCUGAGAGGAUGAUCCGCCACACUGGGACUGAGACACGGCCCAGACUCCUACGGGAGGCAGCAGUGGGGAAUAUUGGACAAUGGGGGGAACCCUGAUCCAGCCAUGCCGCGUGUGUGAAGAAGGCCUUAUGGUUGUAAAGCACUUUAAGCGAGGAGGAGGCUACUUUAGUUAAUACCUAGAGAUAGUGGACGUUACUCGCAGAAUAAGCACCGGCUAACUCUGUGCCAGCAGCC